AAGAAAAAGGAGAGAUGAAGAAGGGAAAGGAGAGGUCAGGAAAGAACCCCAGCGAUGGCAAGAGGAGCAGUAUGUCCUGCCACUGGGCAUUGCCCUCCGUCCUCCGCUGGUGUGGAAGGAAUGACAGCUGAGAAUCUCCUACAUUGGUCCUGCUUCCUCUUCCCCACGACCCCGAGAGGGCUGGCUGAGGCCCCUUGACCAAACCCCAUCUCCAGACCCAGGGACCAGGACCUACGCCUUGAGCGAUUUCCCUGCUGUGGCUGCUCAGAGCACGGGACGCUGAGCUGAAGUGCAAGGGGCCGACUGCGGCAGAGAGCACUGGAAACCCGGAAAUCAGCGGAGAGAAUUCCCUUCAGGAUGACGCAGCACUGACUUUGUUGACCUUGGACUCGGUGUUCUCCAAGAAACAUCAUUCGGCUCCCAAGCCUCCUUCCCGGAGCCCACCGCUCAGGGGAAGCACCCCGCGCUCAGCUGUAGGGUGGAGGGUGCUGUGCAGACCACUCCGCUGCAGCAAUUCCCACGCCCUUGCCAGGAACUGCCUCGGGAUCCCAGCCCAUCAGAGCGUGGCCUUGACCCGGCCUUGGGUGUAGAUUGUGAGCCGGGUGCAGGAUCCCAUCCUGGUGAUGGGAGAGACUUUUGUUCUACGGCUGGGGGAGGCGUCCCUCUCCUGCUGGACGUGCUCAGGCCGGGUGCGGUGGCUCACGCCCAUAAUCC